GAUUUACGAUUGCUGAGAGAGAGGAGUUUGGUCUACCUCAUAACUCAUCCUCCUUAGCAAAACACUCCAGUCUCCUUAAACUGAGACAACAGCCUGUGCAAGGGCCU